UACAGAGGUCUCAAGCGUUGUUCGGAUUCAUUGGGCGUAAAGGGUGCGUAGGUGGCGAUGCAAGUCUGGUGUGAAAUCCCGAGGCUCAACCUCGGAACUGCGUCUGAAACUACUCGACUAGAGUACUGGAGAGGGUAACGGAAUUCACGGUGUAGCAGUGAAAUGCGUAGAUAUCGGGAGGAACACCAGUGGCGAAGGCGACUACCUGGCCUGUUCUUGACGCUGAGGCGCGAAAGCUAGGGGAGCAAACGGG
rnacentral:rRNA from 1 species